UACAGAGGUCUCAAGCGUUGUUCGGAUUCAUUGGGCGUAAAGGGUGUGUAGGCGGCUCUCUAAGUCGGUUGUGAAAAGCCCAUGGCUUAACCAUGGAAUUGCAUUCGAAACUGGAGAGCUUGAGUGUGGGAGAAAUUGGUAGAAUACCUGGUGUAGUGGUGAAAUACGUAGAUAUCAGGUGGAAUACCGGUGGCGAAGGC
rnacentral:rRNA from 1 species